CCUAUCGAUCCCCUCGACGACACAGAGCCGCCGCCCUCUCGUGCGAUCCGCUGCCGCCACCUCCGAUCCGCUCCUCCUCUCCCGAGGAUACGCAGCCGCAUCCGCCAACGCCGAUCCGGGCAGACUCGGCCGUCGUGGAUCACGAGGAUCCGGAUGAUGGGGCGGCAGAGAUGGCCACGGAUCUGUUACGGCGACGACGGCACCGGAUCCGCACCCACAACAUCCGGAUGGAGGCCGGCGACGAACCCUAGCCUAGCCGUCAGCAUCGGGAUCCAACCCCUGCUCUCGGUGCUGGGGCAAGGCAUAUGGGGGUGCUUGCUGCCGCGGUGGACCUCGACGCCGGCGACAUCUGCAGCAUCUCCCUCCUGUCGGGCUGCAGGACCUGUACGCCCAAGUGGUAGUGAUGGAUCUAGGAUGAGGAUAAACUGGCGAAUAAUCCAUCAUGGAUACGCAGUGUGAUUAAAUCUCACUGGCAGUCUACACAACACUUGAUGGGAGUUUGAAAAUAACAGUCCAUAAUAAAGGGCCGUGGUGUCUACUAUGAUUUUCAGAAAGGUGAGUGCAUUUGUGAAGCUUCCUGCAGAGUUUCACAUGAUGAGUAGGUAAAUGUGCUGCUUGUGCAUUUACCAAGUAGUUAUAUAGGAGAGCACACAAGCAACAGACUACAUAGCUUGUGCUAAUUUCCAUGAUAAGUUUUAUCGCAUAUGAACACAAGUUAUAUUGCCAGUUAAGUUAUUAAUAGAAAUUGAGUUGCUUAUCAUUGAGUAAAAGACAUUCCUUUAGAGUAUUUACAGUUUUAUACUAAUACUUUAUCAAGGUGAUAUGCUGAAGAUUUGUGAUUAUCACAGUAUGGCCUUUACAUUGCUUCUGUAUGAUCUGAACCUGUUGAGCUCAUCACAAAGACCAUAAAAAUUGGCUCUAUCCCUGAUGUCCAAUAAAAAAGGGGAACUAUGGCCUCAGAUCGAAAAAGUUUCUUUUCCUUUGUGAUUUUGCAGCGGGACUUGCUUAUGGAGACGUUCGCUCUGGGUCAAAGCUUAAGAGUAUUGAUGCUUUUGACCAUUUAAUUAGUGUUUAGGGGGAGGAUUUCCACAGUAACCCUGGGCUGGUUAACCUAUUUGGAAUAGAAUUCCCUGAUUUGAAUAUCAAGCAUUCACAACUUCAGAAUACAUUGUCUCGAGGCCGGAUCAAGCGCAUCGCCGAUGCCACGAUCGCCGAUCUGCCGUGCUGCUCCUCUCAUGUGCGCCCUCGACGCUGACGCCGUCCUAUUUUCCGCAGCCAUCGCCGUCGGGCUCCGCGUCUACGCGCCCCUUCAAACCUACUGGAUGCAAUCUCGCAUUGCGCUGUCGUCCGCACUGUCUGGCACCACCUAUGGACACAGAACGAUGGAUCAAGGUUUAAUGACUUUGAUCAGGCAAGAUACAUUCUGCCCGCUCAUCUCCCCGUGUUGCCGUUGGGCAGCAUCGACACCGGCCUCGAUCAGUGUCGGGGCAAUGGUGAACCAAUGAAGAAGCUUAAGGCGGCUCAGGUAGGGUGGCACACGAUAUUGACAUCGGCCACGACCAGCGUCGGAGGAUGGGUCAUUGGGACGGAAGGAGGAAGACAAAGAGGAGGAAGAAGACGAUGAUCACCAAAUUUUACCACCGAUAAAAAACAUGUGACCGAUGCAUAGUUGCUCUUAUAGUAUCUGCUAAAGAAAUUGAUAAAAGAUGAUAUAUAUUCGUAGGACUUCACUCAUGUCACUUAGUCACCAGUUUGAUUUAUUUUCCUGUAUUUUGCCCAGGCAACGCACGGGCAUUGUACUAGCAACCGGCUCCGGGCCCAGCCUACAUUAGUGGGUGUGUUAUGUAUUCGCAAGGUUGUGUCCAGUAUAAGACUUAAUUCCUUGUAACCAUAAAUGUGAGCUAGGAAGAAUAAAAUUUGUGCUCUAUUGAA